GACGAACCGUGCGAGCGUUGUUCGGAAUCACUGGGCAUAAAGGGCGCGUAGGCGGCUUUUCAAGUCAGGGGUGAAAUCCGGCAGCUCAACUGUCGAAGUGCCCUUGAUACUGAUGAGCUCGAGGGAGGUAGGGGUGUGUGGAACUUCCGGUGGAGCGGUGAAAUGCGUUGAUAUCGGAAGGAACGCCGGUGGCGAAAGCGACGCACUGGACCUCUACUGACGCUGAGGCGCGAAAGCUAGGGGAGCAAACGGG
rnacentral:rRNA from 1 species